UACAAGUACUGAGUCGGCUGAGUUACUUUUUCCGCUUCUCUUUCGCUUUUUUUUUUUUUUUUAAUUUUAAUUUUUCUCUCGGGGAUUGGUAAUUAAAAAAUAAAUAAAUCUUCACGGCACUGCACCGCACGUUAAUUCGUUAAUUAGUUAAUCCCUUGAUUUAUAAUUAAUCAACUACUUUGUUUAGCGCGGUAGUUUUAAUUCAAAGGCCAAUAAUAAAUCUUCAUGGCAGCAACCAAAGAAGUAGACGCCAUAACCACCCACUCCCGCAAAAUCAAACCUCUUCUCCCUUUUCUCCAACACAGAUUUUGUCCGCGUCGAAAAACACAUGCAGAGAAACUCAGGAGAUAGAGAGAGAGAGGGAGACAGAGGUACGGUACCUGUUCUCUCUCGAUCUCCUACUCUAAAUUUCUCUGCUUGAUUUCGAAACGAACAAUGUGAUGAUGAUGGUUUUGGUCUGUGUUUCUCCGAUUUCUCCGGCUUUUGAGUUUCGUCUCCUUCCCGGCUUUGUUGAGCGUUCGACGGNNN
rnacentral:lncRNA from 1 species